AUUGAACGCUGGCGGCAGGCCUAACACAUGCAAGUCGAGCGGUAGAGAGGUGCUUGCAUCUCUUGAGAGCGGCGGACGGGUGAGUAAUGCCUAGGAAUCUGCCUAGUGGUGGGGGAUAACGUUCGGAAACGGACGCUAAUACCGCAUACGUCCUACGGGAGAAAGCGGGGGAUCUUCGGACCUCGCGCCAUUAGAUGAGCCUAGGUCGGAUUAGCUAGUUGGUGAGGUAAUGGCUCACCAAGGCGACGAUCCGUAACUGGUCUGAGAGGAUGAUCAGUCACACUGGAACUGAGACACGGUCCAGACUCCUACGGGAGGCAGCAGUGGGGAAUAUUGGACAAUGGGCGAAAGACCUGAUCCAGCCAUGCCGCGUGUGUGAAGAAGGUCUUCGGAUUGUAAAGCACUUUAAGUUGGGAGG
rnacentral:rRNA from 1 species